rnacentral:rRNA from 1 species
UACAGAGGUCUCAAGCGUUGUUCGGAUUCAUUGGGCGUAAAGGGUGCGUAGGCGGCGCGGUAAGUCGGGUGUGAAAUCUCGGGGCUUAACUCCGAAACUGCAUUCGAUACUGCCGUGCUUGAGGACUGGAGAGGAGACUGGAAUUUACGGUGUAGCGGUGAAAUGCGUAGAUAUCUGAAGGAACACCAGUGGCGAAAGCGGCUUCCUGGUCCAGUACCGACGUUCAGGCACGAAAGCGUGGGGAGCAAACGGG